CUUUGCACUUUGGCUGUUGGGCCAUUAAAGACAACAACCAAAAAAGAACAAUCGUGGUUUCAGAGAGCAAGCAGAUUAUUUGAAAGGCAUUUUGGAAGCAAAUGCAAUGGGAUCUGGUGAUUUGGAUAGAGGGUAGGGUAAGGGUCAACGGAGCUCCCAGGUUGAGUCUUGAGCAGGUUGGUCAGGAAGGCUGAGGUGGGGCAGGUGAAGGUGGAGAGGGCAUGAGAGAAAGAUCGAGAGUUCAGACAUGCAAAGCAGUAAAGCUGAAAUGCCUGCAGCACAGCCAAGGAGGCAGCUGAAUAUAGGAAACCAGAGCUCAGAGGAGAAAUCUGAAAUGGUUCACAUAGCCUAAUCAUGAAAAAGACACCAGACAAAUUCCAAUUGAAGGACAUUCUAGAGAAUACCUGACCAGAACUCCUCAAACCUGUCAAGAUGAUCAAAACCAAGGAAAAUCACAGACACUGUCAUGACCAAAAGGAGCCUAUGGAGACACAGCUACUAAAUAUAAUGUGGUUUCCUGGAUGGGAUCCUGGAAAGAGCCCAAGGGAAACAUAGCCAUGGGACAUCUUUCUUCAAUGAAGUCUACAUUUACAGCAACCAAGCGCACACAACUCCAUUUCCUGUUUAUGUAAGACUUCUUGCUACUGGAUGCAGGGAAAAUAUAUCCCUCUUAUUGGCUUUCCCAUAAAGGUAUCUCCCACUCACCAAUGCCCUAUUCUUUUCAGGUAAGAUUCAUUCACGUGACAACUGAUUACCAAAAGACUGUAUUGGGGCAAACCUCAUGUUUUUUGUGUCUUGUCAUUCUAUAGGGAGGGAAAUGUCUCUUGCCUAAUACUUCACUUUGUUCCAUGCCCACUGUGUUCCAUAGUUUGGGAAAGCAUACUUUAAAUCCAGCGUGGGAUCUGUUUGAGUGAUCCCUGGAUUUGUAUUGGUUUUGUUUUCUGAAGCAGGUUUGUCUUAGUGGGUGCCCUUUAGAGAUCACUUUUGUUAUAAAAUGAACCAAGAUUAAUAGCCAGCUCCAUGUCAUGUGUUUGCAUGUCUUCAGCUGACGAAUUUCAAAUGACCUUCUUGUUCUGCCAAUACAUUGUGGAGAUACCAUCACUGAAAGCCGGCCCUUGCUACUGCUGACUCUGUCAUAUGGGGAAGGGGACAGUGUGUAAUUCUGCCUGUGGUAAUCUGCUUGUGGCAGUGAUUUUAUAGCCUGCAAACUUUUGCUUAUUGUACCCAGAUGUUGUAUGAUACUUUGCCAAAAAUACAUCUUUUAAAGAAUCUGUCUUAACUCUUUGUUUUGAGAUAAUUUUAUGCUUACAAUAUUUGUCUCAUCAUGUUCUCUCUCUGUCUCUGUAUGUAAACAUUUUUGAACCAUUUGAGAGUAAGUUGCAAAGAAAAUACGCCAUUACCUUAGUGUACAAUUCCUAAAAAUAAGGGUAUUUUCUUACAAAACCAGAGUACAAUUUUCAAAAUCAGAACAUUUAUGUAAGUGCAGUUCUAUUAUCUAAUACAUAGACUUUAGUCAAGUUUUGUAAUUUUUUACUGGCCCAGGAUCAAUCUGGUAUUCAUGUUGCCCUUGGUUUUCUUGUCUCA
rnacentral:lncRNA from 1 species